CGUGAGGUUCACAGCCACGAGCAGGCGGAACUUUUCCCGCAGAACACAAGUUGUGAGCCUGAGGAAGAUAACUUUCGUCGAGUUAUUAUUGUCUUUAUGAAUCUCCGGUUGUUUUUUUCUUAAGUACCAGAACAUGCUGUAGAUGAACUUGAUGGCGAGCCCAGCCUAUGAAUCUGAGGGGAGUCGAUUACGCAGUGUGGCCAGCUGCAGGACCUGCUCAGAGGACGUCGGAUUGCUUGAUUCAUUCGAUUCCAGAUAAGACACGUACACGCUUAUUAACCUACCCGGGUAGUAAUAGUAGACAUUGACAUUGAACACACACAUCUGGAUUUUUCCCCGAAGUUAAACUCUUUUGAACUCCUUUUUGCAUGUUGAACUUUUCUCACAAUUCCUCUUCAUAGAGGAGCAUUCGAGCUGGGAGUCCAACUCGAAAAGCACAAUUUCUUUUGGUUUUGUUUUACUUUCACAGAACUCUAUUUUUUUUCUAUG